AUGAACGCUGGCGGCGUGCCUAAUACAUGCAAGUCGAGCGAACGGACGAGAAGCUUGCUUCUCUGAUGUUAGCGGCGGACGGGUGAGUAACACGUGGAUAACCUACCUAUAAGACUGGGAUAACUUCGGGAAACCGGAGCUAAUACCGGAUAAUAUUUUGAACCGCAUGGUUCAAAAGUGAAAGACGGUCUUGCUGUCACUUAUAGAUGGAUCCGCGCUGCAUUAGCUAGUUGGUAAGGUAACGGCUUACCAAGGCAACGAUGCAUAGCCGACCUGAGAGGGUGAUCGGCCACACUGGAACUGAGACACGGUCCAGACUCCUACGGGAGGCAGCAGUAGGGAAUCUUCCGCAAUGGGCGAAAGCCUGACGGAGCAACGCCGCGUGAGUGAUGAAGGUCUUCGGAUCGUAAACUCUGUUAUUAGGGAAGAACAUAUGUGUAAGUAACUGUGCACAUCUUGACGGUACCUAAUCAGAAAGCCACGGCUAACUACGUG
rnacentral:rRNA from 1 species